AUACGGAGGGUACAAACGUUAAUCGGAAUUACUGGGCGUAAAGCGCGCGUAGGUGGUUUAUUAAGUGGGAUGUGAAAGCCCCAGGCUCAACCUGGGAACUGCAUUCCAAACUGAUGAACUAGAGUACGAUAGAGGGGGGUAGAAUUCAGAGUGUAGCGGUGAAAUGCGUAGAUAUUCUGAGGAAUACCGGUGGCGAAGGCGGCCCCCUGGAUUGAUACUGACACUGAGGUGCGAAAGCGUGGGGAGCAAACAGGAUUAGAAACCCGAGUAGUCC
rnacentral:rRNA from 1 species